UACAGAGGUCCCAAGCGUUGUUCGGAUUCACUGGGCGUAAAGGGUGCGCAGGUGGGUUGGCAAGUUUGAUGUGAAAGCCCCGGGCUUAACCCGGGAAUGGCAUUGAAUACUGCUGAUCUGGAGGAUCGGAGGGGGGACUGGAAUUCUUGGUGUAGCAGUGAAAUGCGUAGAUAUCAAGAGGAACACCAGUGGCGAAGGCGAGUCCCUGGACGAUACCUGACACUGAGGCACGAAAGCCAAGGGAGCAAACAGG
rnacentral:rRNA from 1 species